rnacentral:rRNA from 1 species
AGUGAACGCUGGCGGUAGGCCUAACACAUGCAAGUCGAACGGCAGCACAGUAAGAGCUUGCUCUUACGGGUGGCGAGUGGCGGACGGGUGAGGAAUACAUCGGAAUCUACUUUUUCGUGGGUGAUAACGUAGGGAAACUUACGCUAAUACCGCAUACGUCCUACGGGUGAAAGCAGUGGAUCUUCGGACCUUGCGCGAUUGAAUGAGCCGAUGUCGGAUUAGCUAGUUGGCGGGGUAAAGGCCCACCAAGGCGACGAUCCGUAGCUGGUCUGAGAGGAUGAUCAGCCACACUGGAACUGAGACACGGUCCAGACUCCUACGGGAGGCAGCAGUGGGGAAUAUUGGACAAUGGGCGCAAGCCUGAUCCAGCCAUACCGCGUGGGUGAAGAAGGCCUUCGGGUUGUAAAGCCCUUUUGUUGGGAAAGAAAGGCAGCAGGUUAAUACCCCGCUGUUCUGACGGUACCCAAAGAAUAAGCACCGGCUAACUUCGUG